AGUACGAACGCAAGUUUGAAACUCAAAGGAAUUGACGGGGGCCCGCACAAGCGGUGGAUUAUGUGGUUUAAUUCGAUGAUACGCGAGGAACCUUUACCAAGGCUUAAAUGGGAAAUGACAGGUUUAGAAAUAGACUUUUCUUCGGACAUUUUUCAAGGUGCUGCAUGGUUGUCGUCAGCUCGUGCCGUGAGGUGUUAGGUUAAGUCCUGCAACGAGCGCAACCCCUGUCACUAGUUGCCAUCAUUAAGUUGGGGACUCUAGUGAGACUGCCUAUGCAAGUAGAGAGGAAGGUGGGGAUGACGUCAAAUCAUCACGGCCCUUACGCCUUGGGCCACACACGUAAUACAAUGGCCGGUACAGAGGGCAGCUACACAGUGAUGUGAUGCAAAUCUCGAAAGCCGGUCUCAGUUCGGAUUGGAGUCUGCAACUCGACUCUAUGAAGCUGGAAUCGCUAGUAAUCGCGCAUCAGCCAUGGCGCGGUGAAUACGUUCCCGGGCCUUGUACACACCGCCCGUCACACCAUGGGAGUGGGUUGCACCAGAAGUAGCUAGUCUAACCUUCGGGGGGACGGUUACCACGGUGUGAUUCAUGACUGGGGUGAAGUCGUAACAAGGUAGCCGUA
rnacentral:rRNA from 1 species